GGGAAAGUAGCUCAGUGGUAGAGUGCUUGCCUUGCAUGCAUGAGGCCCUGGGUUUGAUUCCUCAGCACCA
rnacentral:tRNA from 1 species